AGUAAUGUCUGGGAAACUGCCUGAUGGAGGGGGAUAACUACUGGAAACGGUAGCUAAUACCGCAUAACGUCGCAAGACCAAAGUGGGGGACCUUCGGGCCUCAUGCCAUCAGAUGUGCCCAGAUGGGAUUAGCUAGUAGGUGGGGUAACGGCUCACCUAGGCGACGAUCCCUAGCUGGUCUGAGAGGAUGACCAGCCACACUGGAACUGAGACACGGUCCAGACUCCUACGGGAGGCAGCAGUGGGGAAUAUUGCACAAUGGGCGCAAGCCUGAUGCAGCCAUGCCGCGUGUAUGAAGAAGGCCUUCGGGUUGUAAAGUACUUUCAGCGGGGAGGAAGGCGAUAAGGUUAAUAACCUUGUCGAUUGACGUUACCCGCAGAAGAAGCACCGGCUAACUCCGUGCCAGCAGCCGCGGUAAUACGGAGGGUGCAAGCGUUAAUCGGAAUUACUGGGCGUAAAGCGCACGCAGGCGGUCUGUCAAGUCGGAUGUGAAAUCCCCGGGCUCAACCUGGGAACUGCAUUCGAAACUG
rnacentral:rRNA from 1 species